rnacentral:rRNA from 1 species
CCUACGGGCGGCAGCAGUGGGGAAUAUUGCACAAUGGGCGAAAGCCUGAUGCAGCAACGCCGCGUGAAGGAAGACGGUUUUCGGAUUGUAAACUUCUAUCAAUAGGGAAGAAAGAAAUGACGGUACCUAAAUAAGAAGCCCCGGCUAACUACGUGCCAGCAGCCGCGGUAAUACGUAGGGGGCAAGCGUUAUCCGGAAUUACUGGGUGUAAAGGGAGAGUAGGUGGCAAGGUAAGCGAUAUGUGAAAGCCUUAAGCUUAACUUAAGGAUUGCAUAACGAACUAUCUAGCUAGAGUACAGGAGAGGAAAGCGGAAUUCCUAGUGUAGCGGUGAAAUGCGUAGAUAUUAGGAAGAACUCCGAUUGCGAAGGCAGCAUACCGGCGCGCAACUGACGCUCAUGCACGAAAGCGUGGGUAUCGAACAGGAUUAGAUACCCCUGUAGUC